GAUGAACGCUGGCGGCGUGCUUAACACAUGCAAGUCGAACGGUGAACCCGGAGCUUGCUCUGUGGGAUCAGUGGCGAACGGGUGAGUAACACGUGAGCAACCUGCCCCUGACUCUGGGAUAAGCGCUGGAAACGGCGUCUAAUACUGGAUAUGUGACGUGAUCGCAUGGUCUGCGUCUGGAAAGAAUUUCGGUUGGGGAUGGGCUCGCGGCCUAUCAGCUUGUUGGUGAGGUAAUGGCUCACCAAGGCGUCGACGGGUAGCCGGCCUGAGAGGGUGACCGGCCACACUGGGACUGAGACACGGCCCAGACUCCUACGGGAGGCAGCAGUGGGGAAUAUUGCACAAUGGGCGCAAGCCUGAUGCAGCAACGCCGCGUGAGGGAUGACGGCCUUCGGGUUGUAAACCUCUUUUAGCAGGGAAGAAGCGAAAGUGACGGUACCUGCAGAAAAAGCGCCGGCUAACUACGUG
rnacentral:rRNA from 1 species